rnacentral:rRNA from 1 species
UGAGGAAUAUUGGUCAAUGGGCGGAAGCCUGAACCAGCCAAGUAGCGUGAAGGAUGACUGCCCUAUGGGUUGUAAACUUCUUUUAUAAGGGAAUAAUUGUGGGUACGCGUACCCAUUUGCAUGUACCUUAUGAAUAAGGAUCGGCUAACUCCGUGCCAGCAGCCGCGGUAAUACGGAGGAUCCGAGCGUUAUCCGGAUUUAUUGGGUUUAAAGGGAGCGUAGGCGGGCGCUUAAGUCAGCUGUGAAAGUUUGGGGCUCAACCUUAAAAUUGCAGUUGAUACUGGGUGCCUUGAGUGCAGUACAGGCAAGCGGAAUUCGUGGUGUAGCGGUGAAAUGCUUAGAUAUCACGAAGAACUCCGAUCGCGAAGGCAGCUUGCCGGAGUGUAACUGACGCUGAUGCUCGAAAGUGUGGGUAUCAAACA